GUGGCAAUUCUAGAGCUAAUACAUGCUAAAAACCCCGACUCCGGAAGGGGUGUAUUUAUUAGAUAAAAAACCAAUGCCCUCCGGGGCUCCGCGGUGAUUCAUAAUAACUUAACGAAUCGCAUGGCCUUGCGCCGGCGAUGGUUCAUUCAAAUUUCUGCCCUAUCAACUUUCGAUGGUAGGGUAGUGGCCUACCAUGGUUUCAACGGGUAACGGGGAAUUAGGGUUUGAUUCCGGAGAGGGAGCCUGAGAAACGGCUACCACAUCCAAGGAAGGCAGCAGGCGCGCAAAUUACCCAAUCCCGACACGGGGAGGUAGUGACAAUAAAUACUGAUGUGGAGCUCUUUUGGGUUUCGCAAUUGGAAUGAGUACAAUCUAAACCCCUUAACGAGGAACAAUUGGAGGGCAAGUCUGGUGCCAGCAGCCGCGGUAAUUCCAGCUCCAAUAGCGUAUAUUAAAGUUGUUGCAGUUAAAAAGCUCGUAGUUGAAACUUGGGCUUGGUUGACCGGUCCGCCUCACCGCGUGCACUGGUUCGACCGAGCCUUUCCUUCUGGAUGAGCGCAUGCCCUUUGUUGGGUGUGGUUCGUGGACCCAGGACUUUUACUUUGAAAAAAUUAGAGUGUUCAAAGCAGGCCUAUGCUCGGAUACAUUAGCAUGGAAUAAUAGAAUAGGACGCGUGGUUCUAUUUUGUUGGUUUCUAGGACCGCCGUAAUGAUUAAUAGGGAUAGUCGGGGGCAUCAGUAUUCAAUUGUCAGAGGUGAAAUUCUUGGAUUUAUUGAAGACUAACUACUGCGAAAGCAUUUGCCAAGGAUGUUUUCAUUAAUCAGUGAACGAAAGUUAGGGGAUCGAAGACGAUCAGAUACCGUCGUAGUCUUAACCAUAAACUAUGCCGACUAGGGAUCGGACGGUGUUAUUAUUUUGACCCGUUCGGCACCUUACGAGAAAUCAAAGUUUUUGGGUUCUGGGGGGAGUAUGGUCGCAAGGCUGAAACUUAAAGACAUUGACGGAAGGGCACCACCAGGCGUGGAGCCUGCGGCUUAAUUUGACUCAACACGGGGAAACUCACCAGGUCCAGACACAAUAAGGAUUGACAGAUUGAGAGCUCUUUCUUGAUUUUGUGGGUGGU
rnacentral:rRNA from 1 species